CUGUCUAUGUAUAUGGCUAUUGUGUUGUUGUGUGCGCCACGGGGAAUGAUGCAAAGGAGGUACGACUGGUGUGAGGGGGACGGACGAAGGGGGGGCAUCCUGCUAAGAUUGAGAUUAUCCGGUAUCUGAGCUAUCUCCUUUGGGGUCUCCAUGUAUCCUCAGUUGACCAUACAUGUCGCACAGAGAUUUAUCUGCGGAGGGGUUGGGGAGGGCCCCUCUAGGGCUUAGGUCCU